AUUGAACGCUGGCGGCAGGCCUAACACAUGCAAGUCGAGCGGAUGACGGGAGCUUGCUCCUUGAUUCAGCGGCGGACGGGUGAGUAAUGCCUAGGAAUCUGCCUGGUAGUGGGGGACAACGUUUCGAAAGGAACGCUAAUACCGCAUACGUCCUACGGGAGAAAGCAGGGGACCUUCGGGCCUUGCGCUAUCAGAUGAGCCUAGGUCGGAUUAGCUAGUUGGUGAGGUAAUGGCUCACCAAGGCGACGAUCCGUAACUGGUCUGGGAGGAUGAUCAGUCACACUGGAACUGAGACACGGUCCAGACUCCUACGGGAGGCAGCAGUGGGGAAUAUUGGACAAUGGGCGAAAGCCUGAUCCAGCCAUGCCGCGUGUGUGAAGAAGGUCUUCGGAUUGUAAAGCACUUUAAGUUGGGAGGAAGGGCAGUAAGUUAAUACCUUGCUGUUUUGACGUUACCGACAGAAUAAGCACCGGCUAACUCUGUGCCAGCCGCCGCCGUAAAAC
rnacentral:rRNA from 1 species